rnacentral:rRNA from 1 species
UACAGGGGGUGCAAACGUUGCUCGGAAUUAUUGGGCGUAAAGCGCGCGUAGGCGGCUACUUAAGUCGGAUGUGAAAGCCCCUGGCUCAACUGGGGAAGUGCACCCGAAACUGAGUGGCUUGAGUGCGAAAGAGGGUCGCGGAAUUCCCGGUGUAGAGGUGAAAUUCGUAGAUAUCGAGAGGAACACCGGUGGCGAAGGCGGCGUCCUGGACCAACACUGACACUGAUGAGCGAAAGCCAGGGGAGCAAACGGG